rnacentral:rRNA from 1 species
GACGAACGCUGGCGGCGUGCUUAACACAUGCAAGUCGAACGGAAAGGCCCUGCUUUUGUGGGGUGCUCGAGUGGCGAACGGGUGAGUAACACGUGAGUAACCUGCCCUUGACUUUGGGAUAACUUCAGGAAACUGGGGCUAAUACCGGAUAGGAGCUCCUGCUGCAUGGUGGGGGUUGGAAAGUUUCGGCGGUUGGGGAUGGACUCGCGGCUUAUCAGCUUGUUGGUGGGGUAGUGGCUUACCAAGGCUUUGACGGGUAGCCGGCCUGAGAGGGUGACCGGCCACAAUGGGACUGAGAUACGGCCCAGACGGCUACGGGAGGCAGCAGGGGGGAAUAUUGCACAAUGGGCGGAAGCCUGAUGCAGCAACGCCGCGUGCGGGAUGACGGCCUUCGGGUUGUAAACCGCUUUCGCCUGUGACGAAGCGUGAGUGACGGUAAUGGGUAAAGAAGCACCGGCUAACUACGUG